GAUGAACGCUGGCGGCGUGCUUAACACAUGCAAGUCGAACGUGAAGAAGCAGCAAUGUUUCUGAAAGUGGCGGACGGGUGAGUAACACGUGGGUGACCUGCCUUGCAGAGGGGGAUAACGAGGGGAAACCUUCGCUAAUACCGCAUAGGCUUACACUGAUGGGAAUGGUGUGGGUAAAACUGAGGUGCUGCAAGAGGGGCCUGCGUCCGAUUAGCUAGUUGGUGAGGUAAUGGCUCACCAAGGCGAUGAUCGGUAGCUGGUCUGAGAGGACGAUCAGCCACACGGGAACUGAGAAACGGUCCCGACUCCUACGGGGGGCAGCAGUGAGGAAUAUUGGGCAAUGGACGAAAGUCUGACCCAGCAACGCCGCGUGGAGGAUGAAGGUUUUUGGAUUGUAAACUCCUUUUGUGGGGGAAGAGUGAGGACGGUACCCCAAGAAUAAGUCACGGCUAACUACGUGCCAGCAGCCGCGGUAAGGUGCGCGAGU
rnacentral:rRNA from 1 species